rnacentral:rRNA from 1 species
UACGUAGGGUGCAAGCGUUUGUCCGGAAUUAUUGGGCGUAAAGAGCGCGUAGGCGGCCCUGUAAGUCCGCUGUGAAAGUCAAAGGGCUCAACCCUUGAAUGCCGGUGGAUACUGCAGGGCUAGAGUCCGGAAGAGGCGAGUGGAAUUCCUGGUGUAGCGGUGAAAUGCGCAGAUAUCAGGAGGAACACCGAUGGCGAAGGCAGCUCGCUGGGACGGUACUGACGCUGAGGCGCGAAAGCGUGGGGAGCAAACAGG